GGGCGAACAGACAUACCUUGGAGAGUUGGCGGGGGGCAGGACCACCGAACAAACCCGAACUCGAGGUGAUGGAGAUGGCACCACGCCGGCCCAGGACGUGUUUCGGUACUGGCCGGUCCAGUGGUAGCACCGGCAGCUGAACUGGUAUAACUCUGCCCAACUUCUGGAGGGAGUUUUCUUUAUUUGGAAACCACUUGCUGUGCUUGAGGAUGGUUCCAGAUGAACAGCCUAAAGAUCCAUAAGGCUACACUGGAGGGUUAAACAAAAGAAUCAUGAAGGUGGAUUUGGACUGCAAUUAAUAUGAACAGUUAGUUAUGGUGGCUUAGGGCUCUGAAUGUCAUGAACAAUUUUGCAAUCAGUUGUCUAAAGGUGAACAGUUGAUGACCUCAACAAUUAUGGACAUACAAUUAAAGAACAUUUGGAUUCA